ensembl:misc_RNA Y_RNA Y RNA
GGCUGGUCUGAGUGCAGUGAUGUUUACAACUAAUUGAUUACAACCAGUUACAGAUUCCUUUGUUCCUUCUCCACUCCCACUGCUUCACUUGACUAGCCUUUA